UACGAAGGGAGCUAGCGUUGUUCGGAAUCACUGGGCGUAAAGCGCACGUAGGCGGAUGUGUCAGUCAGGGGUGAAAUCCCGGAGCUCAACUUCGGAACUGCCUUUGAUACAGCACAUCUGGAGUCCGGAAGAGGUGGGUGGAAUUCCUAGUGUAGAGGUGAAAUUCGUAGAUAUUAGGAAGAACACCGGUGGCGAAGGCGGGUCUCUGGGCCGAUACUGACGCUGAGGAGCGAAAGCGUGGGGAGCGAACAGG
rnacentral:rRNA from 1 species